UUAAACCUAAAAAUAAAAAAAUCAAAAUAACAUACUUUCAUAAAACCAUACCACCGUCAACCAGCAUACUUGAUCUACAACAGUUGAGCAGGAUUCAAAUUUACAGGCCCAACAUCCAUCCACAAGUUUAGCCCAACAAGAUUUCGAGUCCAUUUGCUAUUUUCGGUCCAAUCAUACAAAUACCGAACCCAACCGGAGCUAACCCGGGACCGAACCGGACCGCCCGAGCAUGUAUUGGGCCGGGCUUCGGUCUAGGUUUUCUUGCCAUGUCGGUCUUCGGGUCAAGCCGGUCCGGUCCAUCCGGUCUUAGGACUAUGCUCAUGCCUGGUUCGUAUAAUCACUGAGGAUUACAAAUAUUGCUAAAAGAUGGUGAUUUUCGAUGAGCAAAUGAAAGAAAUAACACAUCAAACAUCGGUGCCACAAUUCUCAUAUUUUGAGCAACCAUUAUCUAGCUAGUCCAUUUAAUAUUUUUACAUAGUCAAUAUUUUGACUUUCACAUGGCGCUUUGACAAAUAAUUCAUUCAACUAGCUUUGGGAUAGAGGGAAGUUUACGAACAUGUGAAAAGUCAGUACUAAAUUUGAUUUUAGAUUUGAGUGACAAACUUCUAAGAUGGGCUAGUGAUUGUUUGGUUGGGCUGAGAACAAAGAAGGAACGAAGAAAGAAAGCCCGUCAAGUUUAUUGUUUCGUUUGAUGGGCUCGGCAAAUUAUUUCGCAUUUUAUUAUUAUUAGUUUGCGUAAUUGUGAGAGUGAGACUAUCUUAUAAUACAAUUAUCAUUAUGAAUUUCAUCUAUAUGAUUAUUAUGAA